ensembl:lncRNA
NNNNNNNNNNNNNNNNNNNNNNNNNNNNNNNNNNNNNNNNNNNNNNNNNNNNNNNNNNNNNNNNNNNNNNNNNNNNNNNNNNNNNNNNNCCGGGGCCGGGGCCGGGUGCUGCGGGCGCGGGGCCGGGCCCGGGGCGCAGGGACCAGCCCGGUACCGGCGCCGGCCCCGGGGCGCGGAUGGGCAGCGCGGGGCUCGGGGGCGCCUGGGGCCUCCGCGGGGCUCCUUGGCCCUGGGCCGCCUGCAGGAGCCCCGUGACCUCCGCCCCGUCGGUCGGGCUGUGGGUCCCGGUGCCUCUGGGGCAGCAUGGAGCUGCGGGGACCCUGGGCAGCCCCGCACCGUCCCCUUGCCACCAGCGUCCUCCUGUCGCACCGGCCCCUGGAUGCUGCUGGCCUGGCUGGUGCUGGUCCAAGUCAGGGUCCGGGUCCGGGUCCUGGUCCUGGUCCUGGUCCUGGUCCGCUCAGCUCCCCCUUGUCCUGGCCAGUCUUUGGGUCUGGGUCACGAUGGCAGCACCUGGGUCCCAGCACCAGUCACCUCAGCUCCUCCAGGUCCCAGCCAGCCCAGGCUGGCCCAGGUCUGAGUGGCUCAGCCUGGCCCGCGAGAGGCAGCUCCCGGCGUGUCCUCAUGCUGUCAGCCGUCCCCUCCCUGCCUCCUGCCCCAGUGAAGUGGUGUGUGGCUGGGCUCCAGUACCCCCAGUCCAGGCACCCCCAGAGGGGACCCUCAGCGGGGGCAGCCAGGACCAGCCCCCACGCCCUGGGGUGGCCGUGGGCCCAUGCAACACGCCCCCCCGCUGCCAGCCAGAGCCUGCCCCAACUCCGGCCCCGUCCUCGCCAGGCGGUGAGAAAUGAGGCUGGGGCCGGGGUGAGCGCCCGCAUCUGGGGUGAGCGCGGGAGGGCCUGGCCCCAUUUGUACCUGCCAGGAGCAGUUCCUGGGAGGGACGGCCGCGCUGGGGGCUGCGGGGGUCACAGCUGGGCCAGCACAGCCCUGGGGCUGGGCAGCAUCGCUCACUGCCAGCUCCGCACCGCACCGAGCACCAGAAGUGCACCACACAGCGGCACCAGCACUGCGUGGAGCAAGGUCACCGUGCCGAGCACCGGCACCGCGGCACCGCCGGCACCGCAGCGAGCGCAGCCCCAAUCCGUCUCCCUGCACGCGCACCCUGGCACGGCACGGCCACACACUCUGCAUGCGCAGCCCUGCGCCCCGCUGUCCCCUCAGCCCCCCCAGGCUGGGCUGUGGCCCAGGCCAGCAGGCGGACGUCCUGGUGGUGACCCUGGGGCUGCGGUGGCUCUGCUGGGACAGGAGCAACCCCAGGAGAGGUGCCCAGGGACAGGGACGGGCACUGGUGUGUGCAGGCACCCAGCUGCCACGCCUGCUGGCACACAUCCCCACGGGAUCGGCCCACCCAGGGGCACCACGCGCGCUCCGUGCCGGGUGUGCUGUCCCCUCAGCCCAGCCUGUGGUGCGGAUGCACUGUCCCCACACGUGCCCUCACCCCGACACCUGCUGCACGGAGGACACGUCCAUACCCCACACACACACGUGUCACCCUGCGUGCUGUCCCCAGUCGUGCCCAGGCGCACGCCGACACCUCCUGGCACGCCGGCAGUGCCAGUGCCCGGGCUGGGAGCGCGGGUGAGGAGCGGGGUGUGCGGGGUGGCAGGGGCUGGGGACAGGUGGCAGCAGGACACGGGCGUCCACAUCAGCCUGGGCCCCCAGGGCCACGUUUGCAGCCUGGCACGCGCGGGGCCGCACAGCUCCAUCUCCCGAUGCAUAAUUAAUGCCUGGGCGGCAGCCGGCGCUUCCCUGGCCUCCGCGAAGCUCCGGGGCCGGGCAGGCCGGUGCUUUUAGCAGAGACCUGCUC